ensembl:lncRNA
GGAGGGGUGAGCGGGAAAACGCGGCGCGGAGCCGGGAACUGCGCCCCCGCCCCCUCCCGCAGGGGAAGCGGCGCCGAGGGGCGGUUGCUGCCUCCCCCUUCGCAGGCGGACGGGAGCGAGGGCAGCCGCAAAAGGCGAAGUUUGGGGAAAACUUUUCCCCCGCCUCGAGGUAGAGGGCCUGGGGUCGCGGCUCGGCCCCGCCUGAUGGGACGGGGCCCGUGGCGGCAGAUAAGUCCUGAUGCAUGCUGGAAGAAGUGUGUGCUUCAGCACUGAUUAAAGUAAUGUAGGAGUUAAUGAGAAGCUUGCAGAGAGGCAAGCUGUGUUAUCUUCAUGUGACCAUGGUUUCUCACCCAUAUGCUUUCCUGGUCGUUUUCAUUUUCACACCUGCCUUGAGCUUUGAUCACUCAAAAUAUUCAUAGACUUGCCCUGGAAAAAUAAGAGACUGACCUUUUCCCAUCUGGAGUAGAUGGAUUUACUAUCAAUAAUUGUAAAUGGACCUGGAUGACUUAAUGGUUUUUAUGCUUAAAUUUUUUAAUUCUGUGAUUUCAUUUCAUUUUAAGGAUUCUGCCCACAAUCUUCCCUGAACUGAUAGAUCUCUAUGGUAUAACUUCAAGUUAUUUCUUGCAAAUUAUAUCUUAAUACUGGGCUCACAUCUGCAAUGUGCUGAUGAUCCCCCAUGAACUGCUGAGUUGUCAAAGAAUGCUCAGUUUGCACAGGAUCAGGCCUGGAGGUUGCAGUUGUCUUUUUUUUUAUUUCCCUUGUAGUUAUAUGCAAUGUCUUUCAUUGCAAAAAAAAAACCUGAAAACAGUUUAUGAAAUCAGCAGCCACAAAAGUAAUGCAGUGCCCGUUGGGGGUUAUGUAUUCACAUUGAUUACAAUUUAACAAUCCCUCAGCUUGAGGAUAUCUAUGAGAACUUAGAGCCAACUGCUUUUCAAUCCAUGUGUGUUGCUGUAAGCAGCAAGCUGGAAUUGAUAGAUAUCUGUUGCUAUUGCCAGCAACUCGUUUCUCUGUUACUUUAGUAGCUUAAUUUAAAUUGUUAAGAAACUUGUGAAUCUGUUUUGUUUUUCUACUUUUCCUAACACCUAAGCUUCAUCUG